rnacentral:rRNA from 1 species
AUUGAACGCUGACGGCAGGCCUAACACAUGCAAGUCGAACGGUAACAGGAAGCAGCUUGCUGCUUUGCUGACGAGUGGCGGACGGGUGAGUAAUGUCUGGGAAACUGCCUGAUGGAGGGGGAUAACUACUGGAAACGGUAGCUAAUACCGCAUAACGUCGCAAGACCAAAGAGGGGGACCUUCGGGCCUCUUGCCAUCGGAUGUGCCCAGAUGGGAUUAGCUAGUAGGUGGGGUAACGGCUCACCUAGGCGACGAUCCCUAGCUGGUCUGAGAGGAUGACCAGCCACACUGGAACUGAGACACGGUCCAGACUCCUACGGGAGGCAGCAGUGGGGAAUAUUGCACAAUGGGCGCAAGCCUGAUGCAGCCAUGCCGCGUGUAUGAAGAAGGCCUUCGGGUUGUAAAGUACUUUCAGCGGGGAGGAAGGGAGUAAAGUUAAUACCUUUGCUCAUUGACGUUACCCGCAGAAGAAGCACCGGCUAACUCCGUG